GGCAGUGUGGUGUAAUGGUUUGAGCAUUCAACUAGGACUCUGGAAGACCAGGGUUCGAAUCCCAGCUUGGCCA